AACGAACGCUGGCGGCAUGCCUAACACAUGCAAGUCGAACGGGAUCUUCGGGUCUAGUGGCGCACGGGUGCGUAACGCGUGGGAAUCCGCCCUUUGGUUCGGAAUAACAGUUGGAAACGACUGCUAAUUCCGGAUGAUGACGAAAGUCCAAAGAUUUAUCGCCAGAGGAUGAGCCCGCGUAGGAUUAGCUAGUUGGUGUGGUAAAGGCGCACCAAGGCGACGAUCCUUAGCUGGUCUGAGAGGAUGAUCAGCCACACUGGGACUGAGACACGGCCCAGACUCCUACGGGAGGCAGCAGUGGGGAAUAUUGGACAAUGGGCGAAAGCCUGAUCCAGCAAUGCCGCGUGAGUGAUGAAGGCCUUAGGGUUGUAAAGCUCUUUUACCCGGGAUGAUAAUGACAGUACCGGGAGAAUAAGCUCCGGCUAACUCCGUGCCAGCCGCCGCAGUAA
rnacentral:rRNA from 1 species